GUUCAGGGUGCAGGGUUAAAAUGAGGGUUAGGUUCAGGGUUAUGGGUUAGAAUGCGGGUUAGGGUUAGGCUCAGGGUGCAGGGUUAGAAUGAGGGUUAGGUUCAGGUUUAUGGGUUAGAAUGAGGGUUAGAUUGAGGGUUAGAUUGAGGGUUAUUGUUUAGAAUGAGGGUUAGGUUCAGGGUUAUGGGUUAGAAUGAGGGUUAUGGUUAGAUUGAGGGUUGGAAUUAGAAUGAGGGUUAGAUUGAGGGUUAGGGUUAGAGUGAGGGGUUAGAAUGAGGGUUAGGUUCGGGGUUAUGGGUUAGAAUGAGGGUUAGAUUGAGGGUUAGGGUUAGAAUGAGGGUUAGGUUCAGGGUUAUGGGUUAGAAUGAGGGUUAGGUUCAGGGUUAUGGGUUAGAAUGAGGAUUAGGUUUACGGUGCAGGGUUAGAAUGAGGGUUAGGUUCGGGGUUAUGGGUUAGAUUGAGGGUUAUGGGAUAGAAUUAGGGUUAGAUAGAGGGUUAUUGGUUAGAAUGAGGGUUAGAUUGAGGGUUGGAAUUAGAAUGAGGGAUGUGUUGAGGGUUAGAUUGAGGGUUAGGUUCAGGGUUAUGGGUUAGAAUGAGGGUUAGAUUGAGGGUUAGGGUUAGGUUCAGGGUUAUGGGUUAGAAUGAAGGUUAGAUUGAGGGUUAGGGUUAGAGUGAGGGUUAGAAUUAAAAUGAGGGUUAGGUGCAGGGUUCUGGGCUAGAAUGAGGGUUAGGUUCAGGGUUAUGGUUAAAAUGAGGGUUAGGUUCAGGGUGCGGGGUUAGAAUAAGGGUUAGAUAGAGGGUUAUUGGUUAGAAUGAGGGUUAUGGGAUAGAAUGAAGGUUAGGUUCAUGGUUAUGGCUUAGAAUGAGGGUUAGGUUCAGGGUUAUGGGUUAUAAUGAGGGUUAGAUAGAGGGUUAUUGGUUAGAAUGAGGGUUAGAUUGAGGGUUAUGGAAUAUAAUUAAUGUUAGGUUCAGGGUUAUCGGUUAGAAUGAGGGUUAGAAUGAGGGUUAGAUUGAGGGUUAGGUUCAGGGUUAUGGGUUAGAAUGAGGGUUAGAUUGAGGGUUAGGGUUAGAUUGAGGGUUAUAAUGAGGGUUAGAUAGAGGGUUAUUGAUGAGGUUAUUGGUUAGAAUGAGGGUUAUGGAAUAGAAUUAAGGUUAGCUUCAGGGUUAUCGGUUAGAAUGAG
ensembl:lncRNA